GUCAGCUUGGUUAAUUAAAGAGAAAAUCCAGCCUGCAGCACAGUCCAGUGGGGUCUAAAGCACAAAGAACAAGAAGUGCAGCAACCCCAGACAUCAGGAGAUGAAAGUGCAGACCUGUGAAGGAUCCUGAGAGCAGUGCCUGCCUGACAGGCAGCACUGGAGGAUGUUUCAAGUUUGGUUUCAGAGCUGAACACCCUGGUGAGUGCAGGGCUGCGUGUGCCAGCAGAGGAUAAACCACAGCUGGGCCCUGUGGAGAGGAUUUAGCAAUGACAAAAGAAACAAAUUGCUGAGUCUGAUGGUCCUGGGCCAAAGACAAAGUCUGGUAACAAGAAACUAAAACUACUGUUGGGGAAAGCUUUACAAACAGGUUGCAGCUGUAUGCCAGGGCUUUAGGAACCCUUGACUUCCAGCCAGGCAUUUAUAAAGGAAAUUUGCUGCAUUUAGCAACCACUUCAUGGCGAAGAUACAGAUCCACGGGGUGGGGGGGUUUCAAGGUAAAAUCCUGGAAAGGAGAACUGUUCCAUA